rnacentral:tRNA from 1 species
GCGCCGCAUGGUGUAACAGCAGCACAGGGCCCUCGCCGGGCCCGAGACCCGGUGCAAUUCCGGGACGGCGCA